rnacentral:lncRNA from 1 species
AUACUGCAUUUAAAACUGUAAAAUAGACCAAAUAAUAGUUAACCGACAAACACACCAGACUCAGGCUCCAUUAGCGACCUUAAGCAAUUUCACACAUUCGUUGAUUCAAGAAAUACCGUUUUAUUAUUAUUGAACUUUAAUACCGUGAUAGGAAAUAGGGUGAGGGGUCCUUACUCGUUUCGGGGUCCGAACAUGGCUUCACAGUGCACCUACAGGCUGUCCCUAAUUUUUCCUGAAUUUUUUCCGGGGAACUGAAACGCACUACUGGUACCUGCACGUGUUCCAAAAAAUCCCAAAUUAGGCCCAGGGCCCCUUUCGGCCAAUAU